GAUGAAGAACGUAGCGAAAUGCGAUAAGUAAUGUGAAUUGCAGAAUCCAGUGAAUCAUCGAAUCUUUGAACGCACAUUGCGCCCGCCAGCAUUCUGGCGGGCAUGCCUGUUCGAGCGUCAUUUCAACCCUCGUCCUCCCUUUGGGGAGGUCGGCGUUGGGGACCGGCAGCACACCGCCGGCCCUGAAAUGGAGUGGCGGCCCGUCCGCGGCGACCUCUGCGUAGUAAACCAACUCGCACCGGAACCCCGACGUGGCCACGCCGUAAAACACCCAACUUCUGAACGUUGACCUCGAAUCAGGUAGGACUACCCGCUGAACUUAAGCAUAUCAAUAAGCGGAGGA
rnacentral:misc_RNA from 1 species